rnacentral:rRNA from 1 species
GACGAACGCUGGCGGCGCGCCUAACACAUGCAAGUCGAACGAGAGAUGAGGAGCUUGCUCUUCAAAUCGAGUGGCGAACGGGUGAGUAACGCGUGAGGAACCUGCCUCAAAGAGGGGGACAACAGUUGGAAACGACUGCUAAUACCGCAUAAGCCCACGGCUCGGCAUCGAGCAGAGGGAAAAGGAGCAAUCCGCUUUGAGAUGGCCUCGCGUCCGAUUAGCUGGUUGGUGAGGUAAUGGCCCACCAAGGCGACGAUCGGUAGCCGGACUGAGAGGUUGAACGGCCACAUUGGGACUGAGACACGGCCCAGACUCCUACGGGAGGCAGCAGUGGGGAAUAUUGCACAAUGGGGGAAACCCUGAUGCAGCGACGCCGCGUGGAGGAAGAAGGUCUUCGGAUUGUAAACUCCUGUUGUUGAGGAAGAUAAUGACGGUAC